rnacentral:rRNA from 1 species
GACGAACGCUGGCGGCGUGCUUAACACAUGCAAGUCGAGCGGAGCGGCGAACGGGUGAGUAACGCGUGAGUAACUGCCCCCCUCUCUGGGAUACCAGUUGGAAACGGCUGCUAAUACCGGAUAGUGGGGGAUGACUCUCGUCCUAUCAGCUUGUUGGUGGGGUAGUGGCCUACCAAGGCGCAGACGAGUAGCCGUCCGGAGAGGGCGACCGGCCUCAAUCGGGUGAGAGAAGGCCCAAACGCCUACGGGAGGCAGCAGUGGGUAAUAUUACACAAUGGGGGAAAACCUUAUGCAGCAAUCCGCGUGAGGGAUGACGGCCGUCGGGUUGUACACCGCUUUCGCUAACGAACGAGGAGUUGGAGGAGAAGCGCCGGCUAACUACGUGCCAGCAGCCGCGGUAAUUC